rnacentral:lncRNA from 1 species
UGGAUCAUCAGCAGGUGAUAUGACUUGAGCAGUGAAGUUGAAGACUCAGUAGGAAAAUUUCCCUGGGAGAAGUGAGUCUGCCUAUAUAUUGGGAGACAGAUACAUGGUCUAGAGGGUGAAAGAAGCAGGGAUGCAUGUGUUUUUUUUUUUUUCAUAUUUUAAUGACAUGAGCAAGAGCUAGUAAUUCUAUUUGCUUUAAGCAUCCUGUUUGCAACCUCUUUUUUGCUCUACCAGCUAAACAAUUUUCCCCAUAAGACCUGCUCUGUCCUGAUUCUCUGCCUCUCCCAGACAUGAAAGCAGUUGGUCAGCAUCUCUUGGGAAUUAUGAACAAGAGAUUUUGUUCUGGGUUUUGAGUGUUGAACCACAAUGGAAGAAAUCUAAUGGGAUACACUCCCUCAGAUGUACUACAGGAAACAGGAUAAAAGUUCUUGUAUGUGCCAGAUGGUGGGUAGAAAUCACCUCUCCCCUCUGCACUUUCAGGUCUUAUAGUAUCACUUUCUGUUCUGUCCUAUUAUCCACUCCUUGUUCAAAAGAUAAUCCCAGGUAUGGGGAAAUUAAAGGAUAUUUCCUCUGGACUUCCUUCACAUUCUUCUGGGUCUGUCUGUAGAAGAUUGUUGAGAACUACAUCCUUGGCCAUUUUCCUCACCUCCACUCCUAUCUAAUUCCAAAAUCCCAUUAAACCUUUUUAGACCUCCUCACCCUCUUUCUUAGGCUUGCCCUGAUUCUGCACUGUAAUGAGAAAUGCUGCACGGCCAGGCGCAGAGCUGCUCUGCUCUGGGGACCCCACACCUGGGUUCUUUAGCCCUGGUUGGCUCUAAACAUGCACAAUCGUUGUCUUCUUUCCCUCUGUCAAAAUUAAAAAAAAAAUUUAAAUACUUCAGCCAGGAAUCUGGUUCCAGGAAUUCUGUCCUGGAUUGAAAAAAAAAAAAAAAGGGAUCAAGGAAGUAAAACAAGGUGAAGAAGAACAGAGAGAGGAAAUGUGAGUGUGGAGAGUGGAUGGGGUAGCAGAAGUCAAAUAAAUGCACAUAUUCUGCAUUGCUUCCUGAAGAUUCUCUGUUGCACUUAGGAAAACAAGCAGAGCUAAUAAGAGCAUUGCAGUGCCACUGCUGCCUGUCACCAUGACCACACAAGGGCAGAUAAAUUUAUGGUUAAAAUCAGUGCAGGCAAAUGAAGGGUGCCCUGAGAGCAUAUCUCAGUGAAUGGAUAUUCAUUCCUUGGAAAUCCUUAAGAUUUUUAGGCCAAGUCCUGCACUGCCUGUUAAUUAGGAGAGGUUGUAGGUGUCCAUAGGGCACCAUGUGCUCGCCCCUUUGUUUUCUUCGUGGAAGGUAUCUUUGGAGUGGGUCAUCAUCCUAUCCCUACAGGACCCAGGCCCGCAUCCCCAAUCCUUCCAAGGAAUAUGGGGAGCACCCAACUCACGGAUGGAUGUUGUGGGAUAUUGUGGAAUUGAUGCUCCCAUUUCAGGUCUCUGGGGAUGAGGUGAAGAGGAGACAAGUAAGCAGAACCCCUCAGGCAAGCAGGGGAGUUCAGUUAGUCCAGAAGUGCAUCCCUGUGGACUGGAGAGAUCCUGGCACUGUCCCCUGUAAACCUGGCUAGGAGUAAACAGCUCAACUCCUCAGGGCCCCUCCAUCUCUGAGGAGCUGUGUGAGGAUUUGUGCUUUAUUGCACCAUUUCUCAAACUCAGGUUAUUUGGAUGGCUUUUGGUAUGUAUGUCAAAGGUGAAAAACACACAAACUCAAAAGGAAAUACACUUAAUUAUCCAGAAUCUGUUUAGAUGGUGUAAUUACAAGUUUUAUGUGUGUUAUAUUUUCUAAUUUUGUAAAUUAAAAAAAAAACCAGAACUGGCUUCAUGAUGUUUUAAAAAGCAAAAUUGUCUGUGACCUUAUCCAGUCAGAAUUGUGAAAAUCCCCAAAUUUAUAGCUUUAUGAUCAAGCAUAGUGAUUUUCUUUUUCUUCUUCUUUCUUUGGUGUGGAGAUUGGACUCAAGUCUCCUGCAUGGUCAUCUGAUCCAAGAAGCAGUUGAAGGAUGGGUCCUCCAGAGGGCAGGGCUAGAGGGGCAAGAUCCUGGCACCACCCUGUUUCAUCAGACCUGCUGAUCCUCAGGGGACCCAGCUGUGUGAGACUCAGCCUUUCCACCCCAGCAUCCAAGAGACCCCCUUUCUUCUGCCUCACGUUCACUGUCCAGGGACAUAUCCCCUGAAGGGAUGCUAAGGGGAAUGUCCAGGGGAAUCUAGUGCUGGAGGACAUUCACGAACACCAGAGAAUUGGGUGGGCUUGACUCUCUUUUCAGGUCUCUGGGGAAAGGGUGAAGAGGAGGCAGUCGGGGCAGGGCUUUUCCUCCUGCAAACAGUGCAUCCCAGUGGGCUCUGCAGAAGCCUUGGCAUCAGCAAGGGGACACUGCACCCUGCAAACCUAGCUGAGAUUAAGUAGCAUACAGACAACACACUCAGCAGAGGGCAGCAGGCAGGUCUCAGUACCCGCUGACGUGAGCUCUGAAGAUCUCAGGUACCAAGGUCACCUAAGAGGGCCUAAGGAGCCUCCUGGUUUUCCACACCCUCCCCAGUGAGCACUUCCUCCCUUGUCUAGGUGUCUUCCCAGGAUGGCACACCUGGGUCUGUGUUGCAGAAUCCUACACUGACACCUGGAAGGACAGUGAUCUAUGGUCCUGGAGCUCUGGGGCUCAGAAGAGGGCACUGGGCAGUGUCUAGAACCAGGCCACAGAGGAGGAGCCACUUGGCUGCUUUUCCCUUCCCACAUGUAAAAUAGUGUAUACAAUUGUGCACAUUUAAGUUUACUUUGUACAUAUAUUGGUCCUCUACUUAAUGCUGGAUGUUUUUGUAUUAAAUAUUUGCUUGGUACCCAUUGCUUUUAAAACCUUUUCUGUAAAAGAAAACACAUUACAGGAAAACACUCUAAAGAGAGGUAGUGCCCCCCGCCAGUGACCACCACCAUGAUCACUCCCUGCCUCCUGUCCCCCUCAUUUUUCCUUAAUUGAACACAGUAACUUCUGAAGUAGCACUUCCUAGCUGUCCUUGUAUCAGGGUCCUUCUAGGAUUUUGUUCAUUGAAUUCUGUUUGUUCCUCUGGAAGGGAAAAUGGGAACAGGAUCACCCCAGGUCUUCCAUGACACCUGGGAUGUCAGGGCUGUCUCAUCCAUGGCCACCCAUGUCCUUCAUGGAAGAUCUUCAACAUGUGGCUCUGUUUCCUUUAGGGAAAGCUGACUUCUCUCUGAAGGAGUAAAGCUAUUCUGCUUUUCAUUAUCUUUGCGCUUUCAUCCUAGAAGCCCCAAGGGAUUUCUUUUUCUGUAAAGCCCAGGAUUUUACUAGGAUAUCCCUUGGCUUUCAUCAGAAUUCUUUUGAAGAAAUGACUCCAAAGCAUUGUUUCAUUUCAGGAAAAAAAAUUGAAUUACAUUUUUAAUAUUGGCCUUGUAUCUUUGCUUUGUGUUCUGAGACCUUGAACAUUUCUAUAAUCAGAUGUCCUAAGGUGAUUUUUUUUCUCCCCCAUUUUUUUUUUACCACCUCUUGCUUCAUUUCUUUGGAGAUAUUUUUCUCUCUCUGACCUUCUGUUUCCCAUGAGGCACAGCCCUUCACUGCGCUGCUGCUUCUUUAUAUCUCCUUGUGGAACCUACUUUCCAGUGUUUAUUUCUUCUCUCCUCCCUGGUUUCUAUGCAAGGCUCACAGAUAUGCCACCCCAGUUCUACGUUUGCUGACUCUGGCUUUUCCCAUCCUUUAGUGAGUACUCUCCCUCAUCAAUGCCCUUGUUACUGUCCUUAUCUAAUCUUGAGCUUGAUGUUCCUGUAUUGGAAGAAGACAACUGCUACUCUAUUACCCAAACCAGUAGUCAUUCCCUUUAAGUGGCUACCCAUUUUCUGAAUCCUUAUUUAGUUAUUGUCCAUUAUAAAUGUAACAAAUUACCUCCUUCCCAAAUUAUUAUUUCAUUCUUGUAAUUAUUGUUUUUCAGUUUCUUCAGGUUUAAAUAGUCACAGUAUUUGUCUUGGAUAUUUACCUUUGAGUCAUUUGAUAUUAAUGAGUCAUGAAUUUUCUCAUUCUUUCCAGAGUGAUUUGGUUUGAGCUCUGGGAAUUUAUUUGCAGUGAGUGUGUGGUUUUUAAUUUUCACCCUUUAGAUUUCUCGACAUGCCUGUGCUGGCUUGUUCUCAGCUGGUUCCACAUCUCUCUGGGCCAAUGGCUUUUGCUGUUUUCAGGCAUAGGCAGCAUGCCCACCUUGAUACCUUUUCUAUGUCAUAGCAUGCCCAAGGAUUGUCCUUAAAGCCUUUCCCAUAUUAUCCUAAAAAACCACUCUAUUGAAAUAACCUCUGUAGAAAAAAAAUAUUUUUAAUUUUCUUGACUGAGUUUUUAAAAAUUAUGUGCAUGUACCAAAAAUGUUAGCCAUAUUAUGCUAAGAAUGUCAUUCCACCUUAGAAAUAAAGAAAUCCUGUUAUUUACAACAAUAUUGGUGAAACUAGAAGACAUUAUGCUAAGUGAGAUAAGCCGAUACAGACAGUAUGAUCUUCUUUGGAUAUGGAAUCAGAGUGGAAUGGUGGGGGCCAGGGGCUUGGUGUUUGGGAAGAUGGGAAACUAUUGGUCCAAGGUGACAACAUUUCAUGGAUGCAGGAUAAGUAAGCUCUGGAGAGUUCAUAGGUAGCAAGUUUCCAACAGUUAAUAAAACUGUAUUGUAAUGAUUGUAGAGAGUACAGAUCUUAAACGCUCUCACCAGGCACACACACACAUAGAAGGUAAAAUGCAUGAAUAGGUGGAUGUGUCAAUUAGUGUAACUAUGGCAAUCAUUUCAUAGUGUAUAUGUUCAUCAAAACACCACACUGUAUGCAAUUUUUUAUUUGUCAAUUUUAUCUAAAUAAAGAUGGAAAAAUGUUUCAGUUAAAGCUAAACUUUCAUGAAAUUAUGGGUUUGGAGAAUUUAAUAAUUUUAGAAAAUUGACUCCAUAAGUAUGAUCAGCU